UCCGUAGGCGGGCAAUUAAGUCAGAGGUGAAAGUUUGCGGCUCAACCGUAAAAUUGCCUUUGAAACUGGUUGUCCUGAAUUAUUGUGAAGAGGUUAGAAUAUGUAGUGUAGCGGUGAAAUGCAUAGAUAUUACAUAGAAUACCAAUUGCGAAGGCAGAUCACUAACAUUAUAUUGACGCUGAUGGACGAAAGCGUGGGGAGCGAACAGGAUUAGAUACCCUGGUAGUCC
rnacentral:rRNA from 1 species